AAGGCAUUUUGUUAGCAUUUUCAAAGCAUCUCCUUGAAUCUCUUCCAAAUCUCACAAAAAGAUUCUCCUUCCAUCGGAGUAGAAGAAGUAAUAACAUUUCUAAGCUU